CAGGCCACGCCGGUCUCUCUCCUCCUCCCCCAGGGGGGCCUGGGAGCCCUUGUGGCUGAGAGCCACUCCCUAGGUGCCCAGGCCCGGGGGUGAGUGUGUGUCUGUCCACCCCCUUACCCGGAGCCCCAGGGGUGGCCCAACCACACCAAGGCUGGGGUGGGAGGCCUCCUGCCCCACACUGCCUUACAAGGAGGAGGGGGGGAACCCCCAGGCAGCCACAUCCUGGUGUCUCCCCGGUGGUGAGUAUCCCCACCUACUCUCCCACAGACAGCCUGGGCUCCCCCCUGCCCAGCAGGCACGACCUCCCACUGUUUCCAGGGCGUGGACGCCAAGGCCCUCCCCACCCACUGCAUUGCAGGGGCUGGCAGCUUAGCACGGGUGCAACUGCUUGUGGCCAGAUGCCCUCCCCACCCCCUCUCAGCCGGGUCACAUCCGCCCUCCCGGGAGGCCUUGACCAUCAGCCAGGCAGAAGCAGUCUCGCCUGUUCAGAUUCGGAGCCUAUACCCUCGAGAAGUGGGGCGCCAACCCGGCAGGUGGUCUGCAGUGGGAGAGGGGAGGCUGCCCUGCUCCAAGUCCUUCAGGCCACUGCCCUCACGUGGCUGACCAGUGGGAGACCCUCGCUCAGCCAGCCCUGCUGGCCCAGGGCAGGUCGCCGUGAUGGUGUGGCAUCUGGCAAGGCCCCCUUGUCAUCCUGAGGUGUGGCUCUGCCCUAACUAAGUGGCUCAGAGGUCAGCUUCCAGGCCCAUGUCCCUGCUGGCCAGGACAGCCUCUGGCCCUUAGUAAGCCAGGCCUUCCCACAGGUCACAGGCAGCAGAGCUGGGGGGACAGCAGAGGCGGGGAGCCUCCUGAAGUCACACACAGGGACCGGGGUGUUGGGGGGAGGUGCCCAUGUGCCGCCCUGGCCCGGCCCCUGCCGAGCUUGGCCUGUGCCAGCCUCCGACCUCUGGCCUGUUUCCUGAUCUGGUCCCCGCGUUGGGAGUUAGAUGAGCUCAUAUUUAAGACGGGAUAGUUCUCCCUGCUAGCCGGGUACAGUGGGCUGAAUGGUGGCCCCUGAAAGGUGUCAACCCAGACCCGUGAAUGUGACCUGAUGCGGAACAAGGGCCUUUGCAGAUCCGAUGGAGGUCAGGAAGGAGGCAAGGCCGUCCUGGGUCAGCGCGGACCCCAGAUCCACUGACGGGAGGGAAGCCCCAGGCACACAGGGGCAGGCCACGUGAAGAUGGACGCAGAGACCUGGUGAUUCGUGUACAGGCCGAGGGCUGCUGGCCUCCCCCAGACUCUAGGACAGAGACCUGGGCAGACCCUCCCCUGGAGCCCCAGAUGGAACCAGCCCUGCCGACACCUUGAGUUCAGACUUCUGGCCUCCGGAACAGUGAGAGAAUGAGUGUCUGGGUUUAACCCACCCAAUUUGUAGCGAUUUGUGGCUGCCGCCCCAGGAACACCCAGGAUACACCCAGGAUGCGCAGAGUUAGGGACACACUGGUGACUCGACGCAGCGCCCCAUCAGCAAUCCGGGUUGGGUGCGGGGGGUGGAGCGGGAAGGCCCAGAUGCGCAGCCCGCAAAAGGGACGCACAGAGGGCGGGAGCAGAGCGUGGCCCCUCCAUCCCCAAAGCCAGAGCUCAAACCCUGUCUGGGACGCGUCCGCCCGCCUCAAGUUUUUCAGUAACAUGGCAGACAGUAAUCGGGGCUUCCCUCCCCCACCUCCCGUCCUCACGGGGCAUAAACACCAGUGCCCGGGGAUAGGCAGCCCCCUGGCCUGAGGGUGCCAGUGGGGCAACCAGGGAAGCCCCGGACCUCGAGUUCCGGCUGUGGUGCUGGGCCCCAGGGAAGCCCGGACAAUGGCACCCCGAGGCCAGUGAACCCCCGUGUGAGGAGUCUUAAUGUUUCAUUGGGGUAUAAGGUCCCCUAACUGCUUCUGUGAUGGGCCUGGGUGGGGUGGGGUCCCCGAGCACCCCUGUGACCCGAGUCUUGUAGCCUCACCGUGAACAAGGGUACAGUAAGCUGCAGAGCAAAGAGCGAGCCUCAGGAGCAAGAUGUGUGAGGCCGCGGGGCCGUGUCUCCAGCCGCCACUCCACAGUGACGACGGCGCAGGGGGCCGACUUGCAGGCAGCAGGGUGUGGCUGCGGAGACAAGACCUCCCACCCCAGGGCAGAGGGCGCAGGACACCAUGUGCUGGGGAGCCAGUGGUGGCAGGAGGUUACACGGGCCUUCUGCUUGGAGGAAGGAAGCACUCUGAGUAGGUAAACUGAGGCACCGCUGACACGCAUGGGGCGUCGGGCUGAGGAGCAGAGGGUGUGUGCAGACAAGAGCAAAUGGAGGUGGGGUUCAGGCUAUCAACGGUGGUCUCUGCCAGGAGUUGGGGGUCUCUGCUGUCAGGGGGCAUCCGGGAGCGUGGCUGGGCUGAGUGGCAGGAGAACACCGCAGCUUGCUUCAGCUCAGAGUGGGCUGAGGGGGGCCGCGGGACACCUUCUCAGAAGGCCUGUGCCAGGGUAAAGUGUCGCGGCCCUGAGGUGACGCACCCUUGCUUCUGGCCGGAGUAGGAAGGGUCAGUGUGGAGGGCAGGGCUGGGAGGGUCACAGAAGGAGAAAUACAAGCAGCGGGUUCCACGGCUCCACUCGGACGGGGCUCUGUCCACCCGGGGAUGCUCGGCCCACAGCUGGGCCUCCACAGAGCACCAAGGAAAAGAUACCAUGAAACAAGUGUGGUUUCCACGCUCCUCUAGCAGCUGUGUUUUUCACUCGGGUGCUCUGAGGAUCCUUUCAUCUCAGUGAAAUUGCAGGUUUGUCAUGGUGGCCGGUGUCCCUGCCAAGUCCCUCAGCUGGCGUCCUCCCGUGAACACAGGGUGCAAGUCACCGCUCCUGGGAGCGUCCCGAGCCCCCUGGGGGCAGACAACUGGCUCCAGCUCCCUGCUCCCGGCCUGACCCUGGAUGCUGACAUCAUGGAAACUGCUUCCAGAAACCCGUUGCCUGAACUGCCCAGCUCACAGAGAGACACGGCUCAGCUUAGCAGGCAGCACACAGGGCGGCCAGCGUGGUGUGUGGGGCUCCUUGGAGGUCAAGUACAGCCAGCCAUUCUCGCAGUUCCUGGCAAGUCAGCCGCCUUGUGGAGCCCCAGAUCCUCACAGAUUGGAGCGGCUCACAGACACGUGGCACACAUCAUGUGCUGGUCGGAGGAAGGCGGGGCAGCUGGAAAAAAUGCAGAGCCUCAAAACCAUGAUUGAGGGACUUUAUUGCUUAUAGCCAAGACAGACUCAUUGGCCGUUCAGUCUCCAGCUGACAGAAUGAAAGGGACUGAGCACGUCCCGGACCUGGCUGAAACCUUGCUGAGGAGGGUGAAGGCGGGAGCGUCGACCUCUCCCAGGGCCUGCGCGGUUUCUGGAGAGGGGCCCGGGGGUAACUGUUUCAGGCUCCACGGCCACACGGCCUGUGCUGCAGCCACUCGCUCUGCCAUUGUAUCUCACAUCUACCACAGACGACACAUAAAUGAGCGGUCGUGGCCGUGUGUCAAUAAAACUUUACUUAUGGACCCUGAAAUGUGAAUUUUACAUAAUUUCCACAUGUCAUAUCUUCUUUUUCCAGCCAGUUAAAAAUGUUCAAACCAGGGCCGGCCGAGUGGCGCAAUGGUUAAGAACUGGCUUGGGACGCCAGAGGGCCCCGGUUCAGAUCCCACA